rnacentral:rRNA from 1 species
GACGAACGCUGGCGGUGUGCUUAACACAUGCAAGUCGAACGGAAAGGCCCUGCUUUUGUGGGCUGCUCGAGUGGCGAACGCGGGAGUAACAGGUGAGUAACCUGCCCUUCACUUUGGGAUAACAUCAGGAAACUGGAGCUAAUACCGGAUAGCAGCUCCUGUUGCAUGGUGGGGGUUGGAACGUUGCGGCGGUCGGGGAUGGACGCGCGGCUUAUCAGCUUGCUGGUGGGGGAGUGGCUGACCAAGGCUUUGACGGGUAGCCGGCCUGGGAGCGUGACCGGCCACAUUGGGCCUGCGAGACGGACCAGAGUCCAACGGGGGGCAGCAGUGGGGAAUAUUGUACAAUGGGCGGGAGCGUGAUGCAGAGACGCCGCGUGCGGGAUGACGGCCUUCGGGUUGUAAACCGCUUUCGGCUGUGACGAAGCGUGAGUGACGGUAAUGGGUGAAGAAGCACCGGCUAACUACGUG